UACGGAGGGGGCUAGCGUUGUUCGGAAUUACUGGGCGUAAAGCGCACGUAGGCGGAUCGAUCAGCUAGGGGUGAAAUCCCAGAGCUCAACUCUGGAACUGCCUUUAAUACUGCCAGUCUAGAGUCCGGAAGAGGUGAGUGGAACUCCUAGUGUAGAGGUGGAAUUCGUAGAUAUUAGGAAGAACACCAGUGGCGAAGGCGGCUCACUGGUCCGGUACUGACGCUGAGGUGCGAAAGCGUGGGGAACAAACAGG
rnacentral:rRNA from 1 species